rnacentral:misc_RNA from 1 species
GAGAUCAACGUAGUACUUGUUGUCGAAAACGUUAGGGCUACGAAUGUCCAUGUUGACCGUGUUGUUCGAGUCAGCUGUGGGACAACUACCUUUAAGAUUGUUAGCAAAUGUCUUGUCCAUAGUGGAGUCUUGGUUUGGGUAGAGACGGUCGGUGAAGGAAGGACAGUGGCUGAUACCAAUAGUGUGGGCCCCAGACAAUGCGACCGCAUCAGUCGCGUCGAGGCCUUUGGUUGCGAGGAGAGAGAGGACGGUUGUGGUGUUGGCAGAGGGUGCGACUAGGUUGUCAAUUGUCGCUUGCUCCGUUGCAAAGUUGACUCCGUCCUUUCUUCCUAAGGGUACAUCGUAGUUGGGCCCACCCGUCAAGACAACAGAGUCCCUAGCAGCAAUGGCAACAAUAUCAGAGCAAGACACAACUUGACCACAUUCAUCUUGGAUCCUUUUUCUAAGAUCAUCAAUUAUCUUGAAUGACCUUUUUCUUAGGGUCAAAUUUGGAAUUGCAGUUUGCUCACUUGGCCCUCCUGCUGAUCCAUCUAGCAAUACUGAACCAUCACACCCCUGAACAAAGCAAUCGUGGAAAUGAAGACGAAGUAAGCCAGCAGCUUGGCCAACAUCAUCCUUGAUUUGUUUUUGAAGCCUGUUUCUAAUAAUGGAUUCAAGUUGAGGACAACUAGAUUGAUAAAAUGACCAUGAAAGACCUUUAGUUAAAGCAGGCCUUUGAGCUUCUGAGACAAAGAAAGAAAGAACAAGAACAAGUAGAAAACUUGAUAGAGUAGUUGACACCAUGGCU